rnacentral:lncRNA from 1 species
GAGAUCACAAUGGAUUUUCAUCGUAUAUAAUUACAUUGAACAAUUACAAGGUAUUAAUACAUCUUUUCUAGUCUAGAAGGUAAAUGCAAUUAGAUGUGACUAUCCAAGAAUCAAAACAUAUUUCAAAUUAAGCUAAAGAAGUAAUAAUAUAAGUAAGAAAGUAGACAAAAAAUGUAGAGAGAUAAGACAGAAGAGUUUUCUUAUUCUUCCUAGUAUAUUCAAGUAUUUCUCAAAUCUUCAAGUGCAAAACAUAAUCCUCAAAACCUCUAUUUAUAUUGUUACAUAAAGACAUAUAAAGAGAUAACAAUAAACAUGGUAUUAAUUCUUGAGAAUGUGGGGAAGGUUAAGGGGUGUGGAAGAUAAAAGAGGAGGUGGUGGAGGUGUGAGUUUAAUACACAUAAUGGUGGAAUUACAUCUUGAAAUUAUGGAUAUCUACAUUAAUAUAACAUAUUUACAAUAAAAGAUUAAUUAUUCAACAAUUAUAUAAAUAUUAAUUACAUUAAAAAUGAGGAGAAAAACUAACAAAUGCCAAAAAAAAGAAAAAUAGGAAUGAAGGCUAUAGAUAGUAAUAAUAAUUGUUAUUUUAUUUUUUAUAUAAUAAGAAAAUACCCACGAGGCAAAAAAAA